CCCGCACAAGCGGAGGAAACAUGUGGUUAAUUCGAUGAUACGCGAGGAACCUUACCUGGGCUUAAAUGCAGAGUGCAUGGAGUGGAAACACUUCUUCCCUUCGGGCUCUUUGCAAGGUGCUGCAUGGUUGUCGUCAGCUCGUGCCGUGAGGUGUCGGGUUAAGUCCCAUAACGAGCGCAACCCUUAUCGUUAGUUGCCAGCGGGUAAAGCCGGGAACUCUAGCGAAACUGCCGGUGUAAACCGAGAGGAAGGUGGGAUGACGUCAAAUCAGCACGGCCCUUAUGUCCAGGGCUACACACGUGUUACAAUGGCCGGUACAGAGGGCAGCUACCUGGAGACAGGAUGCGAAUCUCGAAAGCCGGUCUCAGUUCGGAUCGGAGUCUGCAACUCGACUCCGUGAAGCUGGAUUCGCUAGUAAUCGCGCAUCAGCCAUGGCGCGGUGAAUACGUUCCCGGGCCUU
rnacentral:rRNA from 1 species